rnacentral:rRNA from 1 species
CCGACGGUGAGGGGCGAAGGCUGGGGGCGCAAACCGGAUUAAUACCCGGGUAGUCCCAGCAGUAAACGAUGCCAGCUAUGUGUUGCUGGAACCAUGGGUUCCAGCAGUGCCGAAGGGAAGCCGUGAAGCUGGCCACCUGGGAAGUACGGUCGCAAGGCUGAAACUUAAAGGAAUUGGCGGGGGAGUACCACAACCGGUGGAGCCUGCGGUUUAAUUGGAUACAACGCCGGGAAUCUUACCGGAGGGGACAGCAGUAUGAAGGCCAGGCUAAAGACCUUGCCAGAUCAGCUGAGAGGAGGUGCAUGGCCGUCGCCAGUUCGUACCGUGAGGCAUCCUGUUUAGUCAGGCAACGAUCGAGACCCGCAGUCUUAUUUGCCAGCAUGCCCUUUGGGGUGUAUGGGUACAAUAAGACGACCGCCAGCGCUAAGCUGGAGGAAGGAGCGGGCUACGGUAGGUCAGCAUGCCCCGAAUCCUCCGGGAUACACGCGGGCUACAAUGGUCAGGACAAAAGGUACCGACCUCGAAAGAGUGAGGUAAUCCACAAACCUGAUCUCAGUCCGGAUCGAAGGCUGCAACUCGCCUUCGUGAAGAUGGAAUCGGUAGUAAUCGUGACUCAGAAUGUCACGGUGAAUAUGUCCCUGCUCCUUGCACACACCGGCCG